rnacentral:rRNA from 1 species
UACGUAGGGGGCAAGCGUUGUCCGGAUUUAUUGGGCGUAAAGAGCGUGUAGGCGGCCAGGUAGGUCCGUUGUGAAAACUCGAGGCUCAACCUCGAGAUGUCGGUUGAAACCACCUUGCUAGAGUCCGGAAGAGGAGAGUGGAAUUCCUGGUGUAGCGGUGAAAUGCGCAGAUAUCAGGAAGAACACCAAUGGCGAAGGCAGCUCUCUGGGACGGUACUGACGCUGAGACGCGAAAGCGUGGGGAGCGAACAGG